rnacentral:rRNA from 1 species
AGUGAACGCUGGCGGUAGGCCUAACACAUGCAAGUCGAACGGCAGCACAGUAAGAGCUUGCUCUUACGGGUGGCGAGUGGCGGACGGGUGAGGAAUACAUCGGAAUCUACUUUUUCUUGGGGGAUAACGUAGGGAAACUUACGCUAAUACCGCAUACGAUCUACGGGUGAAAGCAGUGGAUCUUCGGACCUUUCGCGAUUGAAUGAGCCGAUGUCGGAUUAGCUAGUUGGCGGGGUAAAGGCCCACCAAGGCGACGAUCCGUAGCUGGUCUGAGAGGAUGAUCAGCCACACUGGAACUGAGACACGGUCCAGACUCCUACGGGAGGCAGCAGUGGGGAAUAUUGCACAAUGGGCGAAAGCCUGAUCCAGCCAUACCGCGUGAGUGAAGAAGGCCUUCGGGUUGUAAAGCCCUUUUGUUGGGAAAGAAAAGCAGCAGGUUAAUCCCCCGCUGUUCUGACGGUACCCAAAGAAUAAGCACCGGCUAACUUCGUG